rfam:Brassica napus, WGS project CCCW01000000 data, contig: 13502
CAAAAAGCAGGGCUCUGUUGUUACAUGAACUGAGCUCACGUAAAUGUCAGGGAAAUCGAAUUGGUCAUCAUGAUUGGGUGAACCUACGUUUCUUCUUAUAGCUAAUGGUUCAGUACAUGAUGGUACAUUA